rnacentral:sRNA from 1 species
GCCAGGCCCAGUGGCGCACGCCUGUAAUCCCAGCAACCGGGGAGGCUGAGGCAGGAGGAUCAUGAGUUCAAAACCAGCCUCAGCAACUCAGUGAGACCCUGUCUCUA